AACGUAGGAGGCGAGCGUUAUCCGGAUUUACUGGGCGUAAAGCGCACGCAGGCGGUUCCGUUAGUCGGACGUGAAAGCUCCUGGCUUAACUGGGAGAGGCCGUUCGAUACUGCGGGACUUGAGGUUGGAAGAGGGGUGUGGAAUUCCCGGUGUAGUGGUGGAAUGCGUAGAUAUCGGGAGGAACACCUGUGGCGAAAGCGGCACCCUGGUCCACACCUGACGUUGAGGUGCGAAAGCGUGGGUAGCAAACAGGAUUAGAUACCCUAGUAGUCC
rnacentral:rRNA from 1 species